rnacentral:rRNA from 1 species
GCAAGUCGAGGGGUAACAGGGAAGCUUGCUUCCGCUGACGACCGGCGAACGGGUGCGUAACGCGUAUGCAACCUACCUCAUACAGGGGAAUAGCCCGAAGAAAUUCGGAUUAAUGCCCCAUGGGUCUUUAUUGCCUCAUGGUAAAAAAGAUAAAGCUUCGGCGGUAUGAGAUGGGCAUGCGUGACAUUAGCUAGUUGGUGAGGUAAAGGCUCACCAAGGCGACGAUGUCUAGGGGUUCUGAGAGGAUGAUC